ACCAGCAUGAUGAAGAUGUAGACCAACAUGACGAUGUAGACCAGCAUGAUGAAGAUAGACCAACAUGAAGAGGAAAUGUAAACCAAAAUCAAGAAUAGGGAAUAAAAUGUGAACAUCUUGAGAAGGAAAACAAUUCCUAGAGGCGAAGGCACAGACACAUCAUUUAGAGCCUUCCUUGUGCUCUAAGGGAACCUGCCAUUAUCUUUUGAUUUGAAGAUGUUUUUACAUUCCUACUGCGUCUGAAAGAAAUGAACAUUUCCCUAAUGCUACUUCAAAACCAGACCUUCUCAAGACAAUCUUAGUGACCAAGCUGCAAUACAGGACCCAGUAGGAAACAAGAAUCCUCUCAACCUCAAGUUGAGUACCCAUGCUCACCUACUAGAGUGGCGACACAUACUUCUCCUACACCCACAUUUUUAACAUCCUGAACCCUGUAACCCAACCUCACAACAUGGUUACAUUGCUAGAAGUGGUCCUGAAGUUAGGAAAACUAACAGAUUCAAUAAAUAGAACAAUCAUUUCUAAUACCAGGUACAACUAGUCAAGUGAUGUACUUUGUAAGCACUAAUUAGUUGGAAUUACCAUAAUUGACUUGAAUCUUGUUUAGGUAUAUCUUGACAAUCAGUCCAGUCAUUUGUUCAUUUUUUUUUUAAAUAUUCCUUUUUUUCCCCCUCAAUCUUCUUGUUUCUGUUAAAUAUUUUUCGGAGGAGGGAAUUUCUAUGGUAUAGUACCAUUAUUAUUAUUGUAUUAAGCAAACUUGUAUAUGUAUGUUUAUUCAUGAAUACUAAUGAAGAACAUCACUUCUGGGUCAUCUACAGAAAAUGUUGUAAACACUAUACAUGUCUUCAGUUAACCUUGGAUAUUCUAUAGAGUCACAACACCAAAGCCUUGCUACAUUAUGGUUAAUUCAAUUUAUUAUCUCCCCUGCUUUUGUGUGCUAUCAUAUUAAUGUUCAUUAGUGUCACAUCCUUUGCACAAUUUGUUCUAUGCUCUUUAUAGUGUAAAUAGUGACUUGACAUUAAUUAGCUCUACUAAAAUACUGUUAUAGUAUUACAUUUAAAAUAAAACUGUUAACAUUUACUAUGCUGCUAUUAAAAUGAAAGCUUUGCUGUGUUGCUAUAAAUGCAGUUUUGAGGUUUCGUCUAAGGGCAUCAUAGAUGAGAAAUGUAGUUACACUCACCUUAACAGUUAAAAAUAAAAUGUUCCAUAAAUAAAGAGUCUAUUCAUAUUUACUAUUUGGUAUUGAUAGACUUCACUAAAGCAUUGAGCUCAUCCCCUUAGUCUAUUUAAAACUUUACAAUACUAAUUCACUUUGUCUUAUCUAAUGGUGAUCAUGGGGUAUCCACUUUGUCAUCUCCAUAGUCUCUGGUGUUAACACUCACUGUCCUGUUGGAGGUUAGGGCUAGGAUGUAAUCUCUAUUUCUGAUGGAACACAUGUAAAACCAACAGUAGACCUGGACUUUAUUAACAGGUCAUGCAAACAUUUUUUCUUAUCUGGCUCUCCCAGAGCUAUUUUUAUGUAUUUUUAUUUUUACUACAUAUGUAGGCUAGUGCUAAGCUGUAUACUUGUACUUCCCCCUAUUAUUAUAUGGGUUAGUGCAAUGCUGUUUCCUGUACUGUUGAUCAGUGGUCUGUAUGUCAGUUUCAAUUAUUCUGUACCUGUGACUGCCUAUAAAUUUCAGAACUAUUUUUCUUUUUUUAAAUUUUACUAUGUGUAAAUCUAUUAUUUAAUUUUUUAGCAAUAUAUGUUACAUUAUUUUUCUAAUUGGAACAACUGUCAAAAUAAUUGACAAUAUGUUUUUAAAAAUAUGGCCAAGCCCCGCUCAGUGCUGUCGUAAUGGCCACUUCUAAUGCUUAUGUACUAGAUCUUGUCCUUAUGUUUUUUUUUAGCUGCAGUGUUUUGUAACUGCUGCUUUAGUCAUUUAAAUUAAAGUCUCAUUUUUUAAAUUUC
rnacentral:sRNA from 1 species